rnacentral:rRNA from 1 species
GACAGAGGGGGCAAGCGUUGUCCGGAAUUAUUGGGCGUAAAGGGCUCGUAGGCGGUCCAUCACGUCGGGAGUGAAAAGCUGGGGCUUAACCCCAGUCCUGCUUCCGAUACGGGUGGACUAGAGGUAGGCAGGGGAGAACGGAAUUCCUGGUGUAGCGGUGAAAUGCGCAGAUAUCAGGAGGAACACCAAUUGCGAAGGCAGCUCGCUGGGACGUUACUGACGCUGAGACGCGAAAGCGUGGGGAGCAAACAGG